AAUUAUCUUUAAGCUUUUUCUUGCCAAGAUCUUUUUCUUGGAGGGGGAAUUAGAGUCAUUGAAAGGAUUUGUAGAUUCUUAAUGUUUUCAAGGCUUCUUAGGACGUCAUCUUCUCCUUUUUAUCCUUAAUUUAUCAUUUCUUGCUUAUUUAAGUUAGUUCUUGCUGUUUUGGCUUGCUAAUUUUAUUGAUUUUCAUUCUAGGUUAAAGUUGCUUCAAUAAAGAGAUUCUCAUAUCUUGUUCCAUCAAGAAACACAUCAAAAUUAGGAGUUUUAAUCUUUUUCUUUUGUUUCAAACAUUCUUGCAC
rnacentral:lncRNA from 1 species